rnacentral:rRNA from 1 species
CCUACGGGAGGCAGCAGUGGGGGAUAUUGCACAAUGGGGGGAACCCUGAUGCAGCGACGCCGCGUGGGUGAAGAAGCGCCUCGGCGCGUAAAGCCCUGUCAGCAGGGAAGAAAAUGACGGUACCUGAAGAAGAAGCCCCGGCUAACUACGUGCCAGCAGCCGCGGGAAUACGUAGGGGGCAAGCGUUAGCCGGAUGUACUGGGUGUAAAGGGGGCGCAGACGGGGAUGCAAGCCAGGAGUGAAAGCCCGGGGCCCAACCCGGGGACUGCACCUGGAACUGGGUGGCUGGAGUGCAGGAGGGGCAGGCGGAAUUCCUGGUGUAGCGGUGAAAUGCGUAGAUAUCAGGAGGAACACCGGUGGCGAAGGCGGCCUGCUGGACUGCAACUGACGUUGAGGCCCGAAAGCGUGGGGAGCAAACAGGAUUAGAUACCCGAGUAGUC